GUUCGUUGAUGGCGUAGUGACUGCGCAGCACUGCGCAGCACUGCGUCAUGUUGCUUUGUCUUCUACCCGCUUGUAUCGGUGACCGGCGGAUGCUCCGUGCUUCCUGCUGCUUCUUACGUGUUUCUCAUGUUGAAGUUCUGUGCGGAUAUAACGUCGGAUGUGUCGAGUGUAGUAGCUGCGCGAGUACCAGCGAGUACCAGGAUCGUAUACAGAUCGUAUUUCGUGAAGCAUUACGACGAGCUUGUCGCUCGCGUCUCGUUGCUGCCUCGUGCUCGUGUAGUACGUUACUUGAUUCUCCGCUUGCCUCGCAAUCUCCAUUGUUUCUGAUCGGCCGCGAUCGUAACACAUUUCGCUGAAUGGAGCUCGUGUGUUACUCGCGCAUUAUCGAGAAUGCCGAAUAAAAUAUCGGGCCGUUCGACCGAAGCUCGUUGCGUUAGCGACGACGUCAACCCGUCGGUCGGUCGGUCGGUCGCAUUUUUCAAUCCGCGGCUGUUUGUUUUCAGUUUCAAUUCGUAUGUUUAUCAGUGUUUGAGAGCGCGAACAUGAUAAUUGUCCGCGCGUGUUGCGGGUUAGCAACGGCCGCGAUUAGCCGGUCAAGAGGUUAUGUUACGCCGCGCGAUCUUCUGGCGCUCGAGAUUCGUCGUCUGCCGCGAUGUUAACUUCCCCGACGGCGUCGCGAGUGCGGUAUCGUAAAUAGUGAACAAUAUAUCGUGCGUUCAUCGUUAAUGUGCGAUUCAAGAACAACAAAAAGAGACAUCGUCAGCGCAGGACGGCCUUCGUGGAGUAAUUCGGUCGACGUUGAAAAUUUUGCUGCUGCGCAUCGUGUAUCGGUAAGUGACAAAUCAUAUUUUAAUCUAGUAAUGUUGAAUAUAUUGAUAGAGAUCCAUUGCUCUAGAUAUUCAUAGAGAUCCAUUGAUAGGAAUUCAUUUAAAAUGGAUGUGCUACACUAGAUUAAUGUCAAUAUUUAAUUCUGGAAAGUAUUUUCAUCCAGCAAUUUAUUGGUAUGCAAAUAUACUUCAGCAUGUAAAAUAAAACUUCUUAUUAUAUUAAUCUGUUAGCGCGUAUUUUUAUGAACAUUACCGGAAAACAUAGAGUUUUUCUGCAUACUUAAUUUGAUGUCUUUUACCGAGUACUAGAGUUUUUGAUAUAAAAGAA